AUGGGUACGAGAGAAUAAAGGAGAACUUGGAAUGUUAUUCCUGUCCUCAGAGCCGGGCUCUAAGUAGGGGGCUAAUUUGGGAGCUCAAGAGAGUCCAGGAAGGUUGUGGACGGGAGCAAUGAUCUGGGGUGUACUUGAGGGAGAUUACAGAGAACGAAGUGGGGCAGCCGGGUGGCGCAGAGGAUAGCGUCUAGACUGGAGUUGGGAGAAUCGGGGCUCAAAUCUGAUCUCUCUUCCUAGCUGCCUGACGCUGGGAACGUCACUUAGCCCCAGUUGGACUUUGCUGCUCUUUGAAACUAAGAUAAGUAAGGGUGUGGUGGGGGUAAAGAGGGAGAGAAGGAGAUGAAGAGGAGAGAAGGGAGGGAGGACACACACCUACACACAGCCAGAGACUGAGACCGAGAAGGAGAAAGGGGAGAGGGAGACAGACAGACACAGAGCCAGAAACAGAGAGAAAGGGGCAGGGGGAGACAGAGACAUAGAGAGAGAAGCAGGGGGGAGAGACACACAGACAGACAGACAGACAGACAGAGGCAGAGAUUGAGGAGAAAGGGGUGAGGGGGAGAGAGAGGGACAGAGAAAAAGGGGUGGGGGAGAGAGAGAAAAGGAGACGGGGGGAGACAGAAAGAGAGACAGAGACUGAGAAGGAAAAAGAGGUGAGGGAGGGGGGUGAAGGGAAGGAGGGAUGUAGAGAAAGAGACAGACAGUGACAGAGACACAGAAAGAGAAAGCAAGAGGGAAAGAGGAGCUAGAGAGGGAGAGCAAGACUAGAGAGACAGAGACAGAGAGAGGAAAAAAAAACAGGAGGAAGACAUGGGCAGCGGGCAGAGGGCUCCUAGAAAAUCUCAGCAAAGACGUAAUUGGGGGGUGGAGGGGGUGGGAGGAGGGUUUUGCAAAGGAUGGACAAAUGGAAGACUCAUGAGGAAAGCAAAUUUUGCCUGACUCAGGAACUGAUUGCCUAGUAGGGGGGAUGUGUGAGAGAAAAGGAUGAACUGAAGAUGGUAUGAGGUUUCAGUGCCUGAGUGAUGGGGAAAUGAUGAAGCUAUCAACGGAAAUGGGGAAAGCAGGAAAGAAUUCUCUUUUAGCUAGGUUAAUUUUGGUUAGGUAAAUAAUUCUCUUUUCAAAGGAGCUGCUCAGCAGAGCACUGAAAAGGUAGGUUGGCACCAGUGGGAAAAUGGUUAAACAAAUGGUGGCAUAUGAAUAUUAGGAAUAUUAUUGUAAGAAAUCAUAACUUAACGCUGUGAACCUCUAAUGGCCAAGUAUGGCCUCAAAGAAGAGCUAAGAGCACGCACUUCUCCUAGCUUCUUGGAAGAGGUGGGGCACUGUGAAGUGAAGACUGACUACGUUGUUAUACUUUUUUGACAUUUUGGUUAGUUUUGCUGAACCAUUUCCUCCCACCCCAGUCCUUUAAAAUCUUUGAGUUGUUUUUUUUUUUAAUUAAAAUCUUUCUUGAUGGCCAUCUGGGAGAGAGGAGGAGAGAUUUUUUUCUUUUUGAAAAUGCAGGUGUUGUGAAAACAAAAGCUAUAAUUAAAAUUUAUUUUAAAAAAAGAAAAGACGUGGGUUUGGGACAGAGCAGAUUCGGCCUGGGAAUCAUCCUAACUGACUGAAGAUAAUGAUAUCACCAAGCGGUCCAGUGUGCAGGGAGAGGAGGGCCAAGGACAGUCUCAGCUCAAACACGCUACACCGCACGUAGCUCGUGACUAUUGCAUAAAUGAAUGAAAACAAGAGUCAGAGGAAAACCAAGAUGCUGUCAUGUCAGAGAAGCUAGGGGAGGAGAAAUGAAUUUGGAAAGGAGCGGGCAUCUAAUAUCGAGACAUGGAUUGCAUGGGACAACGAGACUAACUGGCAUAUGGCUCUACAGCUGUUGGGGAAAUUGAGCAAACAGAAAUGAAGUGACUUGUCUGAAGUCACUUAACUAAUGAGUGUCUAAGUCUGAUGGAAUUCAUCUCUUCUUGGUUCAGGAUCCAGCAUUCUUAUCUAUCAUCUGUGCCACCUUGCUUCCUAUCUAUGUCAUAAAUGGCAACUUUCAAAACAAGAACAUUUGAUUAACCAGAAUAGUAUAUUCCUUGACCAAAUCACAGAGUAGAAUUUUUAAAAAAAUUCAACCAAUUUCAGUUGUGUUCAACCCUUUGGUGACCCCCACUUGGGUUUUUUGUUGUUGCUGUUGUUGUUUGUCGAAGAUACUGGAAUGGUUUGUUAUUUCCUCCUCUAGCUCAUUUUAGAAAUGAAGACAGAGAAACAAGGUUACGUGACUUGCCCAGUAUCACACAGCUAGUGAGUGUCUUAUACCAGAUUUGAACUUGGGAAGAUGAAUCUUUCUGACUCUAGACCUGGCACUCUAUCCACUGUGCCACCUAGAAAAUGUCUUGACUAUUAAAUCAAACACAGUUUUUCAGAAAGACCUCCCUCGAAUUUGGGGAGCCAUUUACCAAUCACUCAAAUCUGCCAUGACAGUUAUUUUUGGUUUGAGAGAAUCAACUUUCCAACCAAGGAGGACUCACCCUGUUGCUACUGUUUUUCAAAAUCAUCAUUAAAACCAAGAUUUGUCACAUUUUCUAAUGAUUUAAUACUGGUUUUCCUACCUGUUCCUUACAUAGAUUCUUUUGGAAGAUUUGAGAAACUUCAGAAAAAAAAUCACACAGGAGGAGAGGAAAGAUUUCAGGUUCUUGGAAAAAGUACUCAUUGAUCAAAUCAAGUGGUAUCCAUUAAAGUGUAAUUCUAGACAUCAAUCUUUUUAAAAAUAUUUCCACACUUACUAAUUUGUGGAAGUUUUAAAAGUCAUUAGACUUUAAGCUCCUUGAGGGCAGGCAUUCUUUUUUUUUUUAUUUGAAUCUCCAGUAUUGUUUACUGUUUACUGAUUGUGUUGGCAAAUGGACAGAUUUCAAAAUAAAGAGCACCAACCCACAAAAUUAAGUUUACAUAAUACAGGAUGCAGGCAGCUAGAUGGUGCAGGGGAUAGAAUGUUGGACCUGGAAAACUGAUUUUUAUGAGUUCAAAUCCAGGCUCAGACACUUCUAUAGCUGUCUGAAACAUGGGCAAGUCACUAAACUCUGUUGGUCUCAGUUUCCCCAUAUGUAAAAUGAGCUGGAGAAGAGAAAUGGCAAACCACUCCAAUAUCUUUGCCAAGAAAAUCCCAAAUGGGGACCCAAAGAAUCAGAUGUGACAAAAAUGACUCCCCAACAAUAACAUGGAAUAAUCCAGAUGUGAAUCAGUUGGUCCAGAUGCCACAAUCAUUGGAAACUUAGUUCAUUCCUCCUUUGACUUCUAUUAAAUAAAGGUUCAUAAAAAAUUAAGCCCCUUCCCCAUUUCUGCCACUUAGUAUACCGAGAGCUUUUAGUUAUUUUUCUAAUAGAGACAAUUGACCACAUUCCUGGUUGUCACUUUCUUGGCAACGAAAAAUGGUAAUUGGAGGAACUGCUCUAAUAGCAUUAGACUGAGUUUAAAGUUUGCUUUAAGUUUUACCUUGCUAACAUAAUAUUGGAGGUUGGAUUGCUGGUGCCUGGUCCUGUUGGACUCCAUUUGAUGGUAUAGAUUUCUUUGCUGUGGGCCUGGAGAUCGUGGACACAUGUAUCUUGUUUCAUACUCCAAAUCUGUGUCAUGCAAAUAAAGAAAAAUAAAAAUCUCUGUAAGCUCC